CUACGGGUGGCUGCAGUGGGGAAUAUUGCACAAUGGGCGCAAGCCUGAUGCAGCCAUGCCGCGUGUAUGAAGAAGGCCUUCGGGUUGUAAAGUACUUUCAGCGGGGAGGAAGGGAGUAAAGUUAAUACCUUUGCUCAUUGACGUUACCCGCAGAAGAAGCACCGGCUAACUCCGUGCCAGCAGCCGCGGUAAUACGGAGGGUGCAAGCGUUAAUCGGAAUUACUGGGCGUAAAGCGCACGCAGGCGGUUUGUUAAGUCAGAUGUGAAAUCCCCGGGCUCAACCUGGGAACUGCAUCUGAUACUGGCAAGCUUGAGUCUCGUAGAGGGGGGUAGAAUUCCAGGUGUAGCGGUGACAUGCGUAGAGAUCUGGAGGAAUACCGGUGGCGAAGGCGGCCCCCUGGACGAAGACAAACGCUCAGGUGCGAAAGCGUGGGGAGCAAACAGGAUUAGAUACCCGGGUAGUC
rnacentral:rRNA from 1 species